GCUCCACACGGUUGUUGUUUUAUUUGCCCUGAUGAUCGUUAGAAGGCUGUAGGAUCGUUCGUCCCCUUCAUCCUGAUCUUCCGAGAGUGUUACAUUGGCCUUAACCACAAUACAAACGGAGUGUGCUUUCAUCUUGGGAGGAGCACCCUCUGAUGGGAUGGCAGCACUACGACGUUACACCUCUAAUGAGAUCUGGAUCUCGACAUUCCCCCCAGAAAUCUUUUCAAGCCAUUGGGCAUUUCAGCGGAAAUGUCCAUCAGGGCGAGAGAACAAAGAACAUUAAAAGUCUAUUAGAACACA